rnacentral:rRNA from 1 species
GGUUAUAACGGGUAACGGAGAAUCAGUGUUCGAUACCGGAGAGGGGGCCUUAGAAACGGCUACCACAUCUAAGGAAGGCAGCAGGCGCGCAAAUUACCCACUCUCAGAACGAGGAGGUAGUGAAUUUAAAUAGCGAUGAUGAACUCUUAUGAGGCUCGUCAAUCGAAAUGAGUACAAUUUAAAUCCUUUAACGAGUACCAAUUGGAGGGCAAGUCUGGUGCCAGCAGCCGCGGUAAUUCCAGCUCCAAUAGCGAAUAUUAAAUUUGUUGCAGUUAAAAAGCUCGUAGUUGGAUCCAAGGUUAGGCAUGCCUGUCUGUUCUUAGUAGCAUGACUGUGUGUGUCUGCCUUUAUUAGUUGAAUGUUCGUUAUGGUGGUCUUCAUCGACUGCUAUGAUGUGCUCAACACGUUUACCUUGAAAAAAUCAGAGCGAUCAAGGCAGGCCUUCGUGCUUGUAUGUUGUUGCAAGGAAUAAUAGAAUAGGACUUCGGUUCUAUUUUGUUGGUUUUGAGAAUUGAAGUAAUGAACAAUAGAGACAGUCGGGGGCAUUUGUAUGGUGGCGUUAGAGGUGAAAUUCUGAGAUCGUCGCCAGACAAACUACUGCGAAAGCAUUUGCCAAGGAUGUCUUCAUUAAUCAAGAACGAAAGUCAGAGGUUCGAAGACGAUCAGAUACCGUCCUAGUUCUGACCAUAAACGAUGCCGACCUACAAUCGGGGGUGGUUUAUUAUAUUGACCCUCCCGGCUGUCCUCAGGAAACUUUAAGUUGGUUCUGGGGGGAAUAUGGUCUCAAGACUGAAACUUAAAGGAAUUGACGGAAGGGCACCACCAGGAGUGGAGCCUGCGGCUUAAUUUGACCCAACACGGGGAAUCUCACCCGGUCCGGACACUGGUAGGAUGGACAGAUUGAUAGCUCUUUCUUGAUUCAGUGGGUGGUGGUGCAUGGCCGUUCUUAGUUGGUGGAGUGAUUUGUCUGGUUAAUUCCGAUAACGAACGAGACUCUGUCCUGCUAAAUAGUCCAGUGGCAUCAAUCACUAUGUGAUUACAGCUGCUGUUACUUCUUAGAGGGAUUCGCGGAUUUAAACCGCAAGAAAUAGAGCAAUAACAGGUCUGUGAUGCCCUUAGAUGUCCGGGGCCGCACGCGCGCUACAUUGACAGUAGAAGCGAGUAUUUCUACCUGGUUCGAAAGAAUUGGGAAAUCUUCGAAUUACUGUCUCCACAGGGAUUGAGGUUUGCAAUUUUGCCUCAUGAACGAGGAAUUCCCAGUAGGCGCAAGUCAUCAGCUUGCGUCGAUUACGUCCCUGCCCUUUGUACACACCGCCCGUCGCUACUACCGAUUAG